rnacentral:rRNA from 1 species
ACGCUCGACACCUACGGGAGGCGGCAGUCGGGAAUAUUGCGCAAUGGAGGAAACUCUGACGCAGUGACGCCGCGUGCAGGAAGAAGGUUUUCGGAUUGUAAACUGCUUUAGACAGGGAAGAAAGAAAUGACAGUACCUGUAGAAUAAGCUCCGGCUAACUACGUGCUAGCAGCCGCGGUAAUCUGAGCGGGCUGGCAAGGC